CUUAGUAAACUCAAGAUAAAAAGCUGUAAGAUGUUCCAGAAAGCUGAGUCUGAUCUGGAUUACAUUCAAUACAGGCUGGAAUAUGAAAUCAAGACUAAUCAUCCUGAUUCAGCAAGUGAGAAAAAUCCAGUUACACUCUUAAAGGAAUUGUCAGUGAUAAAGUCUCGAUAUCAAACUUUGUAUGCCCGCUUUAAACCAGUUGCUGUUGAGCAGAAAGAGAGUAAGAGCC
rnacentral:lncRNA from 1 species